rnacentral:rRNA from 1 species
AACGAACGCUGGCGGCAUGCCUAACACAUGCAAGUCGAACGAGACCUUCGGGUCUAGUGGCGCACGGGUGCGUAACGCGUGGGAACCUGCCUUUAGGUUCGGAAUAACUCAGAGAAAUUUGAGCUAAUACCGGAUAAUGUCUUCGGACCAAAGAUUUAUCGCCUUUAGAUGGGCCCGCGUUGGAUUAGCUAGUUGGUGGGGUAAAGCCUACCAAGGCGACGAUCCAUAGCUGGUCUGAGAGGAUGAUCAGCCACACUGGGACUGAGACACGGCCCAGACUCCUACGGAGGCAGCAGUGGGGAAUAUUGGACAAUGGGCGAAAGCCUGAUCCAGCAAUGCCGCGUGAGUGAUGAAGGCCUCGG